rnacentral:tRNA from 1 species
GCCAGAGUGGCAUAGUGGUUUGAAUGUUGGAUUAUGAAUCUGGAGACCAGGGUUUGAAUCCCAGCUCGGAAA